AAAUUGAAGAGUUUGAUCAUGGCUCAGAUUGAACGCUGGCGGCAGGCCUAACACAUGCAAGUCGAACGGUAACAGAAAGAAGCUUGCUUCUUUGCUGACGAGUGGCGGACGGGUGAGUAAUGUCUGGGAAACUGCCUGGUGGAGGGGGAUAACUACUGGAAACGGUAGCUAAUACCGCAUAACGUCGCAAGACCAAAGAGGGGGACCUUCGGGCCUCUUGCCAUCGGAUGUGCCCAGAUGGGAUUAGCUAGUAGGUGGGGUAACGGCUCACC
rnacentral:rRNA from 1 species